rnacentral:rRNA from 1 species
GAUGAACGCUGGCGGCGUGCCUAAUACAUGCAAGUCGAGCGAACGUACGAGAAGCUUGCUUUUCUGAUGUUAGCGGCGGACGGGUGAGUAACACGUGGAUAACCUACCUAUAAGACUGGGAUAACUUCGGGAAACCGGAGCUAAUACCGGAUAAUAUUUUGAACCGCAUGGUUCAAAAGUGAAAGACGGUCUUGCUGUCACUUAUAGAUGGAUCCGCGCUGCAUUAGCUAGUUGGUAAGGUAACGGCUUACCAAGGCAACGAUGCAUAGCCGACCUGAGAGGGUGAUCGGCCACACUGGAACUGAGACACGGUCCAGACUCCUACGGGAGGCAGCAGUAGGGAAUCUUCCGCAAUGGGCGAAAGCCUGACGGAGCAACGCCGCGUGAGUGAUGAAGGUCUUCGGAUCGUAAAACUCUGUUAUUAGGGAAGAACAUAUGUGUAAGUAACUGUGCACAUCUUGACGGUACCUAACCAGAAAGCCACGGCUAACUACGUG